rnacentral:rRNA from 1 species
AACGAACGCUGGCGGCAGGCCUAACACAUGCAAGUCGAGCGGACCUUUCGGGGUCAGCGGCGGACGGGUGAGUAACGCGUGGGAAUAUGCCCUUCUCUACGGAAUAGUCCUGGGAAACUGGGGGUAAUACCGUAUACGCCCUUUGGGGGAAAGAUUUAUCGGGGAAGGAUUAGCCCGCGUUGGAUUAGGUAGUUGGUGGGUAAUGGCCUACCAAGCCGACGAUCCAUAGCUGGUUUGAGAGGAUGAUCAGCCACACUGGGACUGAGACACGGCCCAGACUCCUACGGGAGGCAGCAGUGGGGAAUCUUAGACAAUGGGGGCAAUCCUGAUCUAGCCAUGCCGCGUGAGUGAUGAAGGCCUUAGGGUUGUAAAGCUCUUUCAGCUGGGAAGAUAAUGACGGUACCAGCAGAAGAAGCCCCGGCUAACUCCGUG